rnacentral:rRNA from 1 species
GACGAACGCUGGCGGCGUGCUUAACACAUGCAAGUCGAACGAAGUGGCGAACGGGUGAGUAACGCGUAAUCAACCUGCCAUUCAGAGGGGGACAACAGUUGGAAACGACUGCUAAUACCGCAUACUGAAGGAGGGGAUUGCGUCUGAUGAGCUAGUUGGAGGUGUACCGGCCCACCAAGGCGAUGAUCAGUAGCCUGUCUGAGAUGAGGAACGGCCAGUUGGGGACUGAGACACGCCCCAGACUCCUACGGGAGGUAGCAGUGGGGAAUCUUCCGCAAUUGACGAAAGUCGGACGGAGCAACGCCGCGUGAGUGAUGACGGCCUGCGGGUUGUAAAGCUCUGUUAAUCGGGACGCGGUACCGGAAUAGAAAGCCACGGCUAACUACGUGCCAGCAGCCGCGGUAAUUC